rnacentral:lncRNA from 1 species
UAUCUAGAUGAGUUGCAUUUUGUUUAUUUAGCAAAAUAUAGCUAUUAUGGGAUUAUUUGGUUAUCAGCUUUAUGGACAAGCAUCCAGUAUAUGCUGCGAGGAGUGACAAUGCAAGACCAGCGCUGUUUUCAUGCACAUUUGCAUAUAGUUUCAGUCAAUACGAUAGUAAACUUGCUCUCAACGACUCUGACCUUCAUGCACAUUUGCAUAUAGUUUCAGUCAAUACGAUAGUAAACUUGCUCUCAACGACUCUGACCUUACAAAAUAUUAGGUAUCCUUAGUUCCAAAUACGGUUUUAAAGGUUCUAAA